CGCAAGCCUGACGGAGCAAGACCGCGUGCGGGAUGACGGCCUAAUGGUUGUAAACCGCUUUCCUCUGGGAAGAUGAUGACGGUACCAGAGGAAUCAGCCUCGGCUAACUCCGUGCCAGCAGCCGCGGUAAUACGGAGGAGGCAAGCGUUAUCCGGAAUUAUUGGGCGUAAAGCGUCCGUAGGUGGUUAUUCAAGUCUGCUGUCAAAGCGUGGGGCUUAACUCCAUAGAGGCAGUGGAAACUGGAUGACUUGAGUGCGGUAGGGGUCGAGGGAAUUCCCAGUGUAGCGGUGAAAUGCGUAGAUAUCGGGAAGAACACCAGUGGCGAAAGCGCUCGACUGGGCCUGCACUGACACUGAGGGACGAAAGCUAGGGGAGCG
rnacentral:rRNA from 1 species